UACGCGAGAAACCUUACCAGCGUUUGACAUGUCCGGACGAUUUCCAGAGAUGGAUCUCUUCCCUUCGGGGACUGGAACACAGGUGUUGCAUGGCUGUCG
rnacentral:rRNA from 1 species